rnacentral:rRNA from 1 species
UACGGAGGAUGCAAGCGUUAUCCGGAUUUACUGGGCGUAAAGAGCUCGUAGGCGGGGACGCGCGUCUCGGAGGAAAUUCCAGGGCUCAACCCUGGAGCUUUCCGAGAUACGGCGUCUCUUGAGGGCAGAAGAGGAGAACAGAAUUCCCGGUGUAGCGGUGAAAUGCGUAGAUAUCGGGAGGAAUACCAGUGGCGAAGGCGGUUCUCUGGUCUGUCUCUGACGCUGAGGAGCGAAAGCGUGGUAGCGAACGGGAUUAGAUACCCGUGUAGU